rnacentral:rRNA from 1 species
UACGAAGGGGGCUAGCGUUGCUCGGAAUCACUGGGCGUAAAGCGCACGUAGGCGGAUUGCUAAGUCAGGGGUGAAAUCCUGGAGCUCAACUCCAGAACUGCCUUUGAUACUGGCGACCUUGAGGCCGGGAGAGGUGAGUGGAACUGCGAGUGUAGAGGUGAAAUUCGUAGAUAUUCGCAAGAACACCAGUGGCGAAGGCGGCUCACUGGCCCGGUACUGACGCUGAGGUGCGAAAGCGUGGGGAGCAAACAGG